rnacentral:lncRNA from 1 species
CUGUGUGGAAGCUGGGAUUCCAAUGGCAGGCAGGAAAUCUUGUAGUAGCAUCUGUGAGCGUAAAUUUUUGUGGCCAUGGGAUGGACAAGAACCACAUGUUUACCUGAAGUCCUGUGACAUUUUGGUGUGCAGCAUGGGAGCUCCAAAAGUGGAUAAAGAAUGUUGCCAUUGAGAGGGCUCUAAUGGUGGAAUUACCUUCAACUAACAUUUACUGAGAGGAGGAGAGGCAACUGAGACAAGAAGUCAAGAGGUAUGUAAUAAAACACAAUUGCCCUCCUACUGUAUUGAAGCGGUUUAUAGCUGUAUGUGUUAAAAUUUGAAACUAAAGGAAUCCUAAUUCAAUGCUAGCCAAAUAAACAUGAAAAAUAUA